UAUAUCUUAUAUUGACCCUAAUACUUCCCAAAAUACGGUGCUCAUGUCCGCUGGCUGUUCUGACGUUCGAAAAUAUGGUUCUAAUAUCGCAGUUUAGGGACUCUACCAACUCUCGGCAUCCUUUUCCUAGAACGCUCACCGAAGCCCCACUGUCAAGUAGCCCUCUAAUUCUGACUCCUUGAAGUUCAACCUCGGCGAACAUUCUAGGGUCCUCGUUUAGACCAGCUCUUCUAAUCGAUUCAAUAACGUUUUUAAUCUCCUUUCUCUUUCUAGCGAAUUUCUGACGAACCUUUGGCACCUUUCUCGGAUCGGGAUUCUCAUUAAAAAUUCUGGAGCGACAUUCAUUAUAAUGGUCUUGCCUUAUCUCCAAUGAUAUAUGUAUGGGGCGGUAUGCGAGGGAUGUGAUGUGUGCGGUAUGUUUGUAAUUCUGACUCUCAUUCGAGCAACCUUCUGGAACGUGUAUAAUCAAAUCUAAAAACCAAUCAACAUGCAAAGUGUUCACACAUGAUGGUAAUCGCCACGGCAAUGAAAUGCCGGGCCUCUUUCGUUUGGGCGCCAUAUUGUUACGGAUGCCUCCUAUGCGACAGGAGAAUAACUAUCGGCUAGCACGGUAUAUCCCAGGAGUGGUCCCAUCCCGUCAUCUCCGUCCG